rnacentral:rRNA from 1 species
GUCUACAACUAUACCAACCUGAAUGAAGCUGAUCUUGACUGAUCUUGGAAGCUAAGCAGGGUUGGGCCUGGUCAAUAUGUGGAUGAAAGAAUUAGUUGGGGGUU